CAUGGGUGCUAGAUCCUUGACCCCAGCAGCCGCCCCACCCUUUGCAUGCUACACGAUGGCACUCCCCAGCCUCCAAGCUCUCCAUCCAUCCAAGUAGUUUGCACAUAUACGGUGGAUCGCUUGAGAUGGAAGCAAAAUAAGACGCCUUCCGUGGCCAUUCUCUCUGCUCUGUAGGUGCUGCAGCUAGCUGUUGCUUGGCAGCAGCAGCAGUUUCCCAUCUCUACUCCUCUCUCAUCAGACAUGCUGAGCAGAAGGGCUGCUCCUCCUCUGUUACUCAAGUAGCAGCUACACGCCACAGCUCCUACGCUCAAGCCAGUGCGCAACCCGGGCUAGAGCCCUCCUUUCCCGGAACCGGCGCUGUAGCAGGGCUCCGCCGCCAAGGAAGCUCUCCGCCAUUACUGCAAAUCCGAGAAACCCGCGAACAAGGCUGCCAUAGCCAUUCUCCUCUGCGAACAGCACCGCCAGAUGCCGCCGCCGCGUUCCUUCACCGUCGACGUUCCUUCACCGUCGACCAUGCUCUGGAGCGCCGCCGCUCGCCACCAGCAGACCGGUCAAUGGUGAGGUCUCCUCCCUGUGCCGAUUUUGGCCCGGGCCAAAGUGUUGACCAAGGUCCACAUGGGACCAGGCCUAUUGCCAUUCCCUGUGGGCAGAUCCAGCUGAGUAGCAAAGAGGUAUUUGGAGUUUAGGAUUUUCUGGGUGAUUA